CAACAUGAUGAUAAACUGGGCCACUGAGAUUGAGAAGAAAAGGAUACUAAAAUGGUCACCCUGUGGUAUCUGGAA